rnacentral:rRNA from 1 species
CCUACGGGAGGCAGCAGUGAGGAAUAUUGGACAAUGGGCGCAAGCCUGAUCCAGCCAUGCCGCGUGCAGGAUGACGGUCCUAUGGAUUGUAAACUGCUUUUGCACAGGAAGAAACAACUCUACGUGUAGAGUCUUGACGGUACUGUGAGAAUAAGGAUCGGCUAACUCCGUGCCAGCAGCCGCGGUAAUACGGAGGAUCCAAGCGUUAUCCGGAAUCAUUGGGUUUAAAGGGUCCGUAGGCGGUUUAGUAAGUCAGUGGUGAAAGCCCAUCGCUCAACGGUGGAACGGCCAUUGAUACUGCUAGACUUGAAUUAUUAGGAAGUAACUAGAAUAUGUAGUGUAGCGGUGAAAUGCUUAGAGAUUACAUGGAAUACCAAUUGCGAAGGCAGGUUACUACUAAUGGAUUGACGCUGAUGGACGAAAGCGUGGGUAGCGAACAGGAUUAGAUACCCUGGUAGUCCACGCCGUAAACGAUGGCUACUAGCUGUUGGGCGCAAGUUCAGUGGCUAAGCGAAAGUGAUAAGUAUCCCACCUGGGGAGUACGUUCGCAGAUGAAACUCAAAGGAAUUGACGGCNGAGAGNGCGAGAGACGACGAGGGAGAGG